GGUCCCGUAGUUCAAUGGAUAGAAUACCAGAUUCCGGUUCUGGCGAUAUGAGUUCGAAUCUCGUCGGGAUCA
rnacentral:tRNA from 1 species